AGAUUAGUUCAGGAAGCUCUGCCUUCAUGUAGCCCUGGCUGUGAGGCCUGAGCAUCGCUACCCUCAUCCCCUGCCACUGGAGCCUGAACAAGUUACGUACCAGAAGGGCUUACUCUACCAGAACCGCUCUCAUCUGGAUCUGGAAGCAGAGCACCGGAUCCAGAAUUCCCUCCUCCAUAGGACUGCAGAACUUGUGUGAUUUCUGUGAGGAUGCGUUUUUGCUGAAAACAGAAUCCAAAGGUACUUUCCAGAAAUGCCAGCAACAGUUUGACGCAUUGCUUUAAUUUGUUGUGGCCAUUAUGAUCGCUGUGGUAUUUUUGAAGCUCCCAAGGUAUGACCCUGACCCUGGCCAGUUCAGACGUCUUUUUGGUGGUGUUGGCAGAAUUAAAUUUGCUGGCCCAAGGUAAAACAGCUAACACCUGUCUGCUCCUGCCACCAAGCUGGGAAAGUGCCCUGAAGAAAACCUGGGCUGGCUGCUUCUCCUUCUUUUGCAUGGUGAGAAAGCUGGGGGAAAGUAAUGCUGUUUCAGAAAGCAUGAUGGUAGUUUGUAUCCUGCGCUCCCCUCUCUCUUGCCUACAGCAGCUUCUUAGGCAUAAGCAACAGCAAACAGCCUGCUGCCUUAAGUAAUUCUCUUUAUUACCUGGUCUGAAAGUCACACAUUAAUCUUUGCCUUGCUAUUGAUGUCUUGAAGAGUUUUGGCCAAGUUGCAUUGUUUGGCAUGUCUGUUUUCUCCCCUUGCAUCUUUGGAAUCCACAUGUCUUCCCACUCACCUCAGAGGGAAGAGGAGGCUUGUGUAAUGACUGUGCUGCAGAAUGGAUGGAUUGUUCUUAAUCUCCUGGUUUCCCCGGAACAUCAUUAUUCCUCAGAUAUCUGGAGAAGAGGGGAAGAAAUCUGAGAAACAAGUUUCCUGCCAGUAAUUCUUGCAUUCUACAUAGGGAUAAACAGAGGAAAACUUGAAGGAAAGGAAGGCAGUACAGAGAAUGAGCUCACUGAGUCAAAGACAAAAUGCAGAAGUCAGAGCCUUGCCGGGAGCCAGUUGGCCCCUUAGCCAGCCUACUAGAGCUCUCUCCAGCUCAAAAAUCUGCCUGCUUUACUUCUCCAUUUCUAUUUGUGAUAAAGAAAAUGGCUGAAUGUUGAUUGGCACAAGAAGAACCUCAUUUCUACUUUUCGGGUUAAAGGGUCCUCCUGCUAACAUGACUCUGGGAAUAGAAAAAGUUGUUCACUUCAUGUUGGCUGUAGAGAUUUGUUCUCUGGGAGGCUGCCUUCCAGGGACUUUUCAACAAACAGUAAAAUCAUGAAACAGAGCUAUACUUAAUGGUUCUUAAUUGAGCAAAUCUCCCAUGGAGUGAGUGUGUUGUUUGCUACAUUGGAGUCUGUGGAAUUUAACUGAAUAUUUGGUUUUGGACGCAUCUUUGAUCAGUUUAAAGGAAAACAAACACAAGUCAAGUCAUACAGUGAAUUUUGAACUGAUUUUUUUUUUUUUUUUAAUGUUUCCAAUGGAUUGCAUGGGAACAAGGAAAUUGUCCUGCUGUAAGGACUUCUCAGACAGCAUUGCUUUAUCCUAAUGAACUUCCAUUUUAACUCCAUCUCUUCAGCAUCUACAUGGAGAACAGAGAAGAAGCAGGUGUAACUGGAACAUGGUGUGCUGGGUUCCAUCAGAACUGGGCUUCCAGGCAGGUCUUCCAGGGCCAUUCUCACCUGUCAGCAGCUCUCAGAUGGACAAUUGGUCUUGGGACACUCAGAGAGCCUAGCCCCCUAAUUUGAGGGUGGGAUUAGGUCUUCACAGCAUAUACAUUACAGUUUGUUGAACGUUAGAAAGAAACAAAGACAACAGAAGGGGCUGAGGGAAGAGGAACUCAAAUUUAUGUGAUCAAGAUGUCACUAGGUUUAGUAGAAUAAAACUUCUGUGCAUGGAUUUUUCAGUCUGCCUGAAGUGGUUCAUUUUUGUCCUCAAGACCACAAGAAUCAAAGUUUGCCAUUACCACAAGCAAUCUAGACAACAGGAAGCAGAUAAUGGGACAUUUCUGUCUUCACUAAAGAGGGCUCACAUUAAAUUGCUUGUAGGUCUUUGGAAAGGUCAGUCAAAGCUUAAGCAACCCCCUGUUGUUUGACAACAUCAGAGCUCAAACACUGUGGUCCUGGAGAACUCUGCUCUUUGAAAAGGGGGAUGUUUAAUUACCUUUUGAAAGCUGGCAGCAGGACAGGAUGCGAGGAUGUUUUCUUUCUUUUGUGUCAGUUGAACAAGUUACUAUUUUGGUACAUGAGAGCGAGUAACCCACUGCACUAGAGGAGACUGUCCCUUCCUCUGACCUGCUGUCAGGAGAAAAGCAAAGACAGGAGGAUAUUAGUGAAGGUGAGCCUACUGCAGGAAGGAAGCCUUGACACAAGAAUAUUUGUGGAAGGGGAGGCAGAGACUCCCAGUGUCCUUCUUAAUGUUGUAUCAGUAUUUCAGUUCCAUUCACCUUCAUAUAUAUGCGUAUUUAUUGGCUUUGCUUUGCACAAAGACAUUGGUGAAGUUGCAGAAAAUUGACUGCUGUCACUUUAAUGAAAUUUUCUUUCAUUGUGAUAGGAAUUGGCAAAGUGGGUACAGGAUUUUUAAUUUUAAAAUUGCAAUACUUCUGCUUCCUCCCAGGGGCAGUCUUUCACAGUGCUUUGCUAAUGCUCUUCAACUAUAUCUUUCUUUCCCUUUUUCUUUGUUUUCUUUCUUUCUUUCUUUCUUUCUUUCUUUCUUUCUUUUUUUUUUCCCUAGUUGUUUAGAUCUGUGGCAUCUAAACAAGCUAAACAGAAACUGUGCCUCAAGGAGAAACAUCUUAAGUAGUUGAAAAUAAAUUUGCAUGGCAUGUAUUCUGUAUUAUAUGCAUUCAACUAUGCACAUGAUGGAAAUGGGGCAUUAGGCAUGAUACCUACCACUGCAAAGAGAAUGUAAGCUCAUGUGUCGCGUAUACUUGUGGUAAACACAAAAUAGAUGUAUAUGAGGAAAGCAUCAUUUGAUUCUCCAGCCAAACCUGGCUAAGAGGCAGACUGUCCCUCAUACUAAUUUCAUGUACAGUUGUACAGUGGGUUCAGUAGAGUGAAUAUCUUUAAUGUUCUUGUUCUUCUUCCCAUCAGCAUUUUCAGGGAAUUUUUCCUGACUUGAUGGAUGGAAUACCUUGGGGAGGGGGCAGUCUGGUUCUUGAAUAUGGGACAUAAGAAGAUGCAUCUCACCCAGGGUACACUGCCUGGAAAGCAGGCAACCAUCUUAGUGAACAGCAGAAGAGUACUGGCCUGCAAAAGGUUUAGUGGGGCAGGUAUAACAUUGUGCAGAUACGAUGCUCAUAGAGAAUGGAAGUCUGGCUAGGAACAAAAGUUGAUGUUUUUAGAUACAAGACAUGUUUAUCUGAGGUAAUAUAUACAGUACUGGAGCAGAAUAUUCAUCUCUAGGUUUGAUGUAGCCAUAAAAUUAUCCAUUCAUUGUGGCUAAAUUACAUGCCCAUAUUCUUCCUAAACUCUGUUCUUCAGCUGGUAGACCACAGUGUUUGCUGGCCUUUACUAACCUUUUGGAGAUCUAUUCCCACAGGUAUCCCAGAGCUCCUGUGCCUUGAGUAGCCACUGUCUCUGAUACUAAUGGUUAGCUUUGAUGUGGCCAACCAACACAAGUGAAGUAAGAAUUUAGGCAAUAUUGAGAAAGAUACAGCCAUGCAUCAGCUUUUCAUCAUCCUUCAUACGUGCAAUGGCCAGUCUUGGAAGCCCUAGGCAUGACAGGCCUUGGCAAGCUGGACAUGACCACACCUGAGCUUGCUCAGCUGGACUCCAAGGAUAGCCUGGAAAGCCUUGCCCUAACAUCUGCUCAUUAGGCUUGGUGGUGCUGUGAAAAACCGUUCUGCUGAUGGUCAUUUUGGCUAGGAUGAAGCAAGGUCCAGAAACACAGUCCGAAGCAGGUGGAGGCUGGACUUUGUCAUCCCUGAACUGGAAAUGUGGCAUUUGCUAUGUCUGGGUGAUUAGUUUUAAUGCCACAGAUUAGGCCGAGAGAUGUUGGCUAAGACAGGUAAACAGUGCUAAUUACAUACUAAGGAAUGCACAUACACUGAUAGGCGGAAGCAGGCAUGUGAUACAUUGCAGAUUUGUUGCUACUGGUUAGUGCUAGCACAAAUUUAUUCUUUCUGGUACAGUGUGACUUUGGCUUGAACUUGUGACAAUUCAGAUUUCUUCACGUCAUCUGAAAACAUUGAGAACAAAAUAAAAUUUCAAUGGCUAACUGGAAAUAUUGGAUCCCAGGUGCUACACUCAAGAGAGGAAGGUUUGCAUCUUGAUUGCCCUGAAUAAAGAUGUUCCGUCCAUUCCAUUCCAGCUGGAAAUACUUGCACUUUAUUUCUGACACAGUGAACAUGAUCAAGUGUACCAAGCCAGACUAAAGGUUCUUCUUGCUUUGAAUCAUCUCAUAGGCGUUAAAUGUGGAUGCCCAGGGAUGAGAUGUUAUCUUAUUGUUCACCAGCUGGCUACUGAGACAGCCUGGACAUACGCUGGAGGAGAACUCAUUUAUGUGAUCUAAAGGGAAAAAAGAAAAAAGAAAGUCAUUCAUAAGAUCUAUCGUAUUCUGUGGAAUACAUUAUGAAAAUGGUUCAGUUCCCGUAAGGAAGAACCAUGAAAACAAAUAAACUAGCUGCUAAGGAGUGUGCCUGGCAGGUACCAGCGAGUUAGAAGGUAAUGUGACAUUCGCCUGAACUUCCUGUAGAUAAUUCAGCCUUACAACAAAUCCUAUAAUUCUCUUCUGUUAUCCAUCUCAAAUAUUGCAAUUAUUGCAAAUAUGACUUGGAUAUUUCAUGAGGCAUUAAUCAUCUUUAUCAGAUAUUUGGCUUCAGAAAUUAUUUUGUAAUGUUGUUUACUUUGUUACUCAGAGAUGAGUUAUUAUAUUACAGGACAUGAGCACUGGCCAUGGGAAAAGGAGGAAAAAGGCUUUAUCCUUUAUAUUAAGAAGCAAUUGUAAAAUGCUUAUGUGGCUAGGUGAGAACUUUCAGAGGCAUCUCUGCCUAUUCAUUGCUAUCAGGCGGUGAGUGACGGUUCAUGGUUUGGGUUUCCAUCCAACUCUAAUUUGGCUUACCAAAACCAGUACAUCUGCAAGGAGGGAAUUAACUGGGAAAGGUAGUACUCGUCAAGUGACCUUUCUUUAAAAAAGAUGAAAAGAAAUAACCCAUCAUUUGGUUUCUUGUAUUUUGUAGUAUGUGAUUAUGUUCUUAUGAAAGAUCCUGAGUCAAAAACUUCAGAAUCCAAGUACUGAUCUUCACUGGAAGCAGAUCCCAGUAGAAGAGUCUUCAACCUGGUUGUACCUGUGAGGCUGCUUGAUUGAAUUCAAUGAGGUUGUUUAUGCUCAAUACUGUUGACAAGUAUUUUCUAGAAACAUCUGAUGAGCUCUUCUGAAACUUUGUUCCAUAAGGCUGGCUUCCUGUAGCCAACAUUGGGUUAGGAUAAUAUAUAGCUUCUGUGUAGGAAAGUAUCACAAAGCACAAUUUCCCAAUGAAAAACAACUCUCUGCUCUUGAAAUGAAUAAUUCACUCAGCACGGGAGAGCUAUUCAGACUUUUUCCCAGAUAUCCUGUUUUAAACUUGCAUUGUAAGCAUGUAAGUAUGUAACUUACACAGGUGGCUCCAAAGGUAAUGUGUUUUAUUUUUUCUGUGGAAAUUACAAUGGCUAUGAAGAGUACAAUAAAGACAGGUAGACCAAAUUCUGAGCUACAAAACACUGUUUUUUUUCCCCAUAGGUGGGAAAGUUCAACCUCUACUGCCAUACCACCAACAUCUGCCUCUGAUAUCUUGGGCCAACAUAAUAAAAGAGGAGGUAUUGCUUUUGGAGCAGCACUCGUAUAUCUCUGUGUAAUAACACAUCUGGCAGCACAGCAGUGGGCUAAUCUCUGUGAUUUUUGCCAUAAUUGCGUAGCUGGUCCUAUUGCAACCAGUUUGCAUUUAACAUUGCUUUUUAUGUAGUCUUUGCGGUUAAGAUGCCCAGCAGUGGGGUGAACUCUGUGAGAAAGUGAUUUAUCCUCCAUAGCCAUGCAGUCCUUGGGCAACGUAUGAAAGCCAUAAGCUAGACAGUGAAGCACACUCAAGUCUUCUGUGCUGACUUCUGUCUAGAUUGCACUCCCCCUGCCCCAACCUUGCUAUGAAUGAACCUCUGAAAAAAUAAUUCCCCAGUAGUUCUUCUCAGAUUAAUGUGGUACCCACACUGGCUAAAAAUAAAAGGAGCCACUGUUCCAGAUUUGUGGAGAUUAGUCAGUCUCCUGUUUCAUGUAAAAGCACAAAACAUCUGUGGUACCAGAAGAGAUCAUGCUGAAUGACAUGAUGGAGUGUGGGGCUGAUGGAAAUCCUGUCCUUGGAACAGCCAUUUUUUUUCCCCCUUCUUUCAGGGUAAGAAUGUGUCUUUCUGAAGAAUUCAGGUGAAAUGAAAACUAUUGAAAAAUCAUUAUGAUUUUAGCAUAUUGUCUGUUACAGAGGCCCAUAAGAUUAAGUCAGCGAUCUGGGAUACGGUAAGAAACAGCAUAGCUCUUGUGAUUACAUAUGUCUGGUGUCAUGAAUUCAGGGAUGAUGAAGUAAUUUCCACCUCUGAAAGAGAGAAAUAAAUACCAGGCCCAGAUGGAAGAAACAUCUUGCAGAACUUGACUAUGAGGGGAGUAAUUGCAGAAAAAAAGAUGAGAAAGAAUAUCUACAAAUAGAGGUACUUUUUAAAGGAGGAUAAGUCUUUGUGAGAAACCUUCAUAUCAAAGAGACACAUCAUGCAGAAAUAAGUUUAAAGGAGCAGAUACUGAAAUAGAGUAUGGAGUCUGUCUACAAGAUGGAAACAACAAAGUUUCCCUUUGAAUUCAUCUGUCUAUUAAAGUAAUUAAGACUGUGAUGUAAAAUGUUAGAGGGAAUGAGAGCAGUAUUAUUCUCUUUUCUAUAAGAGGGGAGUGAAUGGCUGCAAAAGGGAAGAGAGAACAGGAAGAGAACAAGGGGCUGUGAUGCUGGCUCUGUUCAACAUCUACGUGUUGCAGUAAUUAAGUAUUGUGACAGCUGAAUUUCUAUGAAAAUCCCAUCUGUUCCUGCAUGGAAGAAAAUACCAGAAAGUUGAAACAAGAGGCAUCACACCAAAAGUGAGGUUAACAAGAUGAUAACCUGUGAAAGACUGUGAAGAGCCCCAUCCAUCAAAGCCUGUAUCAGUUGCUCUGACCAACCCAAUAUAGCUGUAGAUGUCCCUAUUCAUUGAAGAGUAAUUGGACUUGAUGGCCUUUAAAGAUUCCUUCCAACUCAAACGAUUCAAUGGUAAGAUCACCUACACUACUUCAUGAGUGUUUUGGUUUGUUUUCCCUUAGUUUACUAGUUUAUCUUAGUUUUAUGGAAAAUGUAAAAGAAGGAACUCUUUCCCAUUCGAGGCCAAGGAGUUGAUAUUCUUGAUUUCUUCCUGUUGCUGAUUUUAGUUUCAAAAUCCUGCUGGCAAAGUUGUGACAUUUGGCUCAUGCUGACUCUAAGCAUCACUUCAAAUAUAUUCAGCACAGUGAAAGCUAACUACCAAAGAGUAAAGCCAUAGUGGAACUGACCAACUUGCAUUUGUCCUGAGGACUUGAGUGGGCAUUGCUAACCAGAGUUAUUUUGCUUUAUAUUUAUAACCAUAUAUUAAGAUCCACCUUGGUAUGUUACUUAACAUGUUUUAACCUGAUUACAGGUUAAUUGUGGCUGGAGGUUAUGGAAUCAGUUGCCCAACGAAAUUUCAAAUGUGCAGUCACUGCCGACAUUUAAAAGCAGAUUGAAAGCAUUAAAAUGCUUGCUACAUCUAUUAGCUGAGUUCCGCCCUUAAUUAAUGAGGUAUUAUUGUAAAGUUAUUUGCCAAAAAUUGCAAUUCCUACUUCCCAGAGCUCUUCUAUUAAAAAGUACCCACAAAGAGAAACAGUUACAGACGGAGGUCUAGUGGACUAGACUAAAGAAGGAUAUGAUGGCAGCUAUUUCUAUUAUCAAGGCACACGUUUGCUUAAAGCCUAGGCACAUAAAUUGAGGACAUCUUCAUAUCAUUAUGUAUGCACCAGCAGCUAGCAAUAUGAACAGGGUUGUGCCAGAGUAUCUGACACCUUUCAUCCUCUCCUUCCUACAUUAAUGAACAGCAACUGACGUAAUCAGAUGAAUUUACACUGAAGCCUUUAGUAACAGCUGUAGACCUACCAGCAAAAUAUUUCACUCCCAUGAACUGCUUGAUCAUCCUUUCUAACCCAUCUGCAGCAACUCUCUUUUACUCUUUCCUUGAGAUACUGGUAUAUAUCUACGCCCACAUUAAAGUUUAACAUAAAACCCAGCAACAAAUACACUUCUGCAAAACACUAUUUCAUUGUACCAAAUGAUAAUGAAGACUGACUUGAUUUCUUGAGAAGAUUUUGCAUAGCAAGCUUCAGUCCAUCAGGCCUCUGAAUUUAUCACAUGAGAUAGUCCAGGGCUGUCACAGAUCAAUGGAAAAUGUUCAAAAACAAGCAGUCAGUGGUAAGUUUUAGUGAAUUCCUGACCAGGAGUGCUUGUUGAGUACACCACCAUACAGUUGGUUGUGAUGAAGUGAGGCACAUAGUCCAUGUAACUUGACUGUUCGACCAUGCAAUCUAACUCUUUCUGCCUCCUCUCUGAAUGUGCAGAAAAUAAUUUAAUACUAUGAGGAUGUCUAGUUCUCUGUCUUCAGAACAACAUUCUCCAAUACUCUCCUUCUUCUAAUGAAUACAGCUUCUGGUACAUUUUGGUAAAUUUUGAUACUCUAGGAUUAGCAAAUAAACAGAUUUGCUCACUUGCACAGGAAAUAAAUUUUCACUGUAGAAGAGAUGGAAGGCAAGGAAAGAUCAAAAGGAAAAGGUUUAUAUAGGAAUUCAAAUGAGGGGACAAUAUGUAUCUGACAAAAGGCUGAGAAAGCACAAGUAACUGUAGAGGGAUAAAAAGGCAUGAAAGAGAAAGGAUUGGGGAAAGAAAAGGAGAAAUGGAAAAAUGAUGAGAGUCCAAGAAGUUAUGAAAAAGUUUGAAGAACCCAAAAGUUCUUCAAAAGUUUUGAUAUUUGAAAAAAAACCUUUAUG